GCAGAGGUGGCUGAGCUAGGUUCAAGGCGCCGGUCUCGAAAACCGGUUCCCGUAAGGGAACGUGGGUUCGAAUCCCACCCUCUGCG
rnacentral:tRNA from 1 species